rnacentral:siRNA from 1 species
CAGCAAUGCAUGUCGGAAUGGUAC